GCAGCAGGCGCGAAAACUUUACAAUGCUGGCAACAGCGAUAAGGGAACCUCGAGUGCCAGGUUACAAAUCUGGCUGUCGAGAUGCCUAAAAAGCAUUUCAUAGCAAGGGCCGGGCAAGACCGGUGCCAGCCGCCGCGGUAACACCGGCGGCUCGAGUGGUAACCGUUAUUAUUGGGUCUAAAGGGUCUGUAGCCGGCCGGAUAAGUCUCUUGAGAAAUCUGGCAGCUUAACUGUCAGGCUUUCAGGAGAUACUGUCUGGCUCGAGGCCGGGAGAGGUGAGAGGUACUUCAGGGGUAGGGGUGAAAUCUUGUAAUCCUUGAAGGACCACCAGUGGCGAAGGCGUCUCACCAGAACGGACCUGACGGCAAGGGACGAAAGCUAGGGGCACGAACCGGAUUAGAUACCCGGGUAGUCCUAGCCGUAAACGAUACUCGCUAGGUGUCGGCCACGGUGCGACCGUUGUCGGUGCCGUAGGGAAGCCGUGAAGCGAGCCACCUGGGAAGUACGGCCGCAGCUGAAACUUAAAGGAAUUGGCGGGGGAGCAC
rnacentral:rRNA from 1 species